UGGAGUGCUCCAAAACUUUAGUAACUUUGUAAUUGUUUGCGUACUGUUUAGCAUAUUUUUCUACGAAUUAUAAAUAUUUAAAAAAAUGUUUAAACAAGAAAUACUAGGGAAAACAAUCACCAUAUAUUACUUGAAUUAAGUUAAAUCAAAAUUCAAUAAAAAAAAACAUACACACACACAUUUGAUAUCCUAACCUUAACCUGUAGACUUUAUGGUUAUCGUUUUGCAAAGGACAGGAUUUAUUUGGCUUCAAAAUGAACAACUACAAAGAAACGAAGGAGGAAAAAGGAGUCACUGGUGAAAAGAUGCUGUGCACCUUAAAAGUAUACAUGAUGAUUAUUUAAAUGCUGUGGCUGCAAAAAAUGCUUUCACACACAAAUAACAAAAAAGAGGUAUUAUUGCGGGAUUAAUCAUGUAAAUUGAGAACAUGGUUAAACAUUCAGCUUGUUUAUGGCCUGUAAUAAACUUGGACAAAGUUUAAGCAUUGACCACUAUCUAUUUAAAGAUGCAUCGAAGCAUGUCAAAAGUAGCUAGUGUUGGUGCGUAAUAAGCACAUGUGUUCUUUUGUAAGAAUAAAGUUAUUUUUAAAAUAGUAUGCUUAAAAUGAUAUACUAGAUGAGU